UUAAAUUGAAGAGUUUGAUCAUGGCUCAGAUUGAACGCUGGCGGCAGGCCUAACACAUGCAAGUCGAACGGUAACAGGAAGAAGCUUGCUUCUUUGCUGACGAGUGGCGGACGGGUGAGUAAUGUCUGGGAAACUGCCUGAUGGAGGGGGAUAACUACUGGAAACGGUAGCUAAUACCGCAUAACGUCGCAAGACCAAAGAGGGGGACCUUCGGGCCUCUUGCCAUCGGAUGUGCCCAGAUGGGAUUAGCUAGUAGGUGGGGUAAAGGCUCACCUAGGCGACGAUCCCUAGCUGGUCUGAGAGGAUGACCAGCCACACUGGAACUGAGACACGGUCCAGACUCCUACGGGAGGCAGCAGUGGGGAAUAUUGCACAAUGGGCGCAAGCCUGAUGCAGCCAUGCCGCGUGUAUGAAGAAGGCCUUCGGGUUGUAAAGUACUUUCAGCGGGGAGGAAGGGAGUAAAGUUAAUACCUUUGCUCAUUGACGUUACCCGCAGAAGAAGCACCGGCUAACUCCGUGCCAGCAGCCGCGGUAAUACGGAGGGUGCAAGCGUUAAUCGGAAUUACUGGGCGUAAAGCGCACGCAGGCGGUUUGUUAAGUCAGAUGUGAAAUCCCCGGGCUCAACCUGGGAACUGCAUCUGAUACUGGCAAGCUUGAGUCUCGUAGAGGGGGGUAGAAUUCCAGGUGUAGCGGUGAAAUGCGUAGAGAUCUGGAGGAAUACCGGUGGCGAAGGCGGCCCCCUGGACGAAGACUGACGCUCAGGUGCGAAAGCGUGGGGAGCAAACAGGAUUAGAUACCCUGGUAGUCCACGCCGUAAACGAUGUCGACUUGGAGGUUGUGCCCUUGAGGCGUGGCUUCCGGAGCUAACGCGUUAAGUCGACCGCCUGGGGAGUACGGCCGCAAGGUUAAAACUCAAAUGAAUUGACGGGGGCCCGCACAAGCGGUGGAGCAUGUGGUUUAAUUCGAUGCAACGCGAAGAACCUUACCUGGUCUUGACAUCCACAGAACUUGUGAAAGGUUGGGCUAAGUCCGGAAACGAGGGCAACCCUUAGCCUUUGUUGCCAGCGGUGAGGCCGGGAACUCAAAGGAGACUGCCAGUGAUAAACUGGGGGAAGGUGGGGAUGACGUGAAGUCAUCAUGGCCCUUACGACCAGGGCUACACACGUGCUACAAUGGCGCAUACAAAGAGAAGCGACCUCGCGAGAGCAAGCGGGGCCUUGUACACACCGCCCGUCACACCAUGGGAGUGGGUUGCAAAAGAAGUAGGUAGCUUAACCUUCGGGAGGGCGCUUACCACUUUGUGAUUCAUGACUGGGGUGAAGUCGUAACAAGGUAACCGUAGGGGAACCUGCGGUUGGAUCACCUCCUUACCUUAAAGAAGC
rnacentral:rRNA from 1 species